rnacentral:sRNA from 1 species
UUGACAUAUCUGCAACUAUUUCUCCACAGGACAGAUGCAACACUGUUGGUGAAUGUGCAAACUUCCCCACACUGCUCUAACAAUGUGUCUCAAGACUGACAUGAAGAGAUCACCUCUAGAAGAGAGAAGGUACUGUAUUUAAGUGUCCAAGUUGAGUCAGU